UACGUAGGGUGCGAGCGUUGUCCGGAAUUAUUGGGCGUAAAGGGCUCGUAGGCGGUCUGUCGCGUCGAAAGUGAAAACUCAGGGCUUAACCCUGAGCCUGCUUCCGAUACGGGCAGACUAGAGGUAUGCAGGGGAGAACGGAAUUCCUGGUGUAGCGGUGGAAUGCGCAGAUAUCAGGAGGAACACCGGUGGCGAAGGCGGGUCUCUGGGCCGAUACUGACGCUGAGGAGCGAAAGCGUGGGGAGCGAACAGG
rnacentral:rRNA from 1 species